AGCAGUAGACAUACAAAGAAAGACAAAAAUAUGGUCCCUGCUAACCUUAGAAGGAAGGUCUAAUGGCAUUGGAGGUAGGAUAGGAGGAGGAAGAACUGGGAAAGGCCUCUUGCAGAUAGAAGAGAUCGAGCUAACUACUGAUGAAAGCCAAGAAGUUGAGGAGCUCUGGAAUUUUGCUGUAAUAUUUCUGGGAAUUUUCAUUAUGAAAUCUCAUUCAGAACUGGAGGAAGGUCCCUACUCCACUAUGACUUCAAGCUUUAGCGUGCUAGCACUCCUUACCUUGGGAAUGCCAGCCAGGCCUGGCCAGAGAAUGGACAGAGCAACAGAGUCUUGCCUCAAUGCUAGUAAAGAGAUCCUUAUAAUCUCUUACUGACAACUUGAUUGAUUCUCUUACUGUCUAUAGGCUAUGAGCUCUGGAAGCAGCCAAUACUGCUGACUCAGUUGUUCCAAAGGUUUACUAGAGCCCAGUGUGUACUAGCUCAGCCUGUACUGGACUACAUUCCACUCUUACCUUAGUGUGACAGACUUUUUCUGCUAACCUUCUAAGUUGCCUUUGGUUGGAAAAUUGUUUCACCCCAUAUGUUUGUGGGGUCUGAUGUUCCAGAAUUUGUUUUGAGAUAUUACAUAAAAAAUAUUCCAAGGCAUUUGGGGGAAAGUUCUGGUGAGGUUCUGCCUCUUCUCUGCCUACUUGGCUCUGCCUCCUGGUCCAACAAUUCUGUAAAACAAUUUGGAAUUAUCAAGGAAAGUUGGUAAAUAAGUUACAUACUUUGAUCCAAAGAGUCUACUUAAAAGUCUUUAUUCUACAGAUGUUGACAGAAAAAAAUUAAAAAGACACAUGUGCACAAAAAAGCCUACAAUAGAAUUAAUUGUAUUAACAAGGAACUAGAUAUAAAAUAUUGUAUCUAGAAAUUGAAUAAUAACUGAAAGAAUUAUGGAAUGCUAAUGUAGAGCUUUAAAUAGCAGUUCUGGUCUGUGAAGUAUGCAGUAUGAAAAGUGUCCUGGGGGAAAGUCCAGUCACACUGAAUUAUGUCUAUAUGUAUGCAUCUUAAGGAAUGACAAUAUAAAGAAUUCAGGGAAAUUCUUUACUAUUUAAGUAGUAAAUAGUAAAGAAUGAAUAAAACAGUAUAGUAAAUAAUAGUAAAUAGUAAUAGUAAAGAAUGAAUAAAACAAAACCAAAAAAUAUGCACAAUGACUCUAAUAGUGUCAUAAAGAAAGUUAGCAUGAAGAGACAAACAAACUAGUUAGUUAAAAAAAAGUCAGUAUUAGUAGCAGCCAGUCAAAUUUAAGGAACACAAGUCCAAUAAGGAGGGAGUAGUGCAUCAAACAUAUCUGAUAAAAAUGUGAUAUCCACAAUAUAGGGGGAAUUUAUACAAAUAUGUAAGAGCCAUUUUCCAGUUACUAGUUGGGGACAUUUAACUUUGUUGCUUUAGUUUUCUCAUUUAUGAAAUGAAAUGAAGAAGAGAAUGGCGAAUCACUCCAGCACUACUGCCAAGAAAACUCCAAACAAGUCAUGACUAAACUACUGAACAGGGUAUAUUUGAACUCAGGCCUUUUUGACUGCAGGCUCAGUUCUUCAUACACUGCACUACCUAUGUACCUCCAGCUAAAUAGAAGUGAAGGAGAGAAUUCCAGAAUGGGGAAUAGCCAUUGGAAAUGCUCAGGGUCUGAAGAUCAGAAGAUUGUAUAUGAGGGACAGCAAGGAGGUCAGUGUCAUUGGAUUGCAGAGUAUGAAAAGACUGGAAAGAAAGGAAGAGAUCAUAUUGUGAAGGGAUUUAAAAGCCAAAUAAAUUUUUUAUAUUUGGUUCUGGAGGUAACAGGGAGUCACCUGGAGUGGGAAAAUACUACCCACUUCCAGAUAAAGAAUUAUGGAUUCUGAAUGAAAAAUGAAUUCAAAGCAUACUAUUUUCACUUUUUUCUUUCUUGUGGUUUUUCCCUUUUGUUCUGAUUCUUCUUUAACAACAUGACUAAUGUGGAAAUAUGUUUAAAUGAUUGUAUAUGUGUAAUUUAUAUCAGGUUGCUUGAUGCCUUGGGAGGAGGCGACAGAAAAGAGUGAAGGAGAAAAAAACUGGAACUCAAAAAAAAAAAAAGAAUGAUAAAACUAUUUUUACAAAAACUGAAAUUCAACAGAAGAAAAAAAGCAGGAGGAAGAGGAAGAGGAGCAGGAAGAAGAUGAGGAUCAGGAGAAAGAGAAAGUUCAUUUACUUCUUUGCUUUUUAGUCCUUUAGCUUAAAGAGAUACUUUAUUUUAUCAAA